UCUUCAUUUAAACAGUGGUAAAUUUCUUGUAGCAAGAGUCACACUUGAGGCAGCAAGAGAGACAACCAUUAGUAGAGGAGCAAGCCCGGGCAUCCGCCCUUACAUCUGUAAAGCAAGAAUUGGAGGAAAAGCUUGCAGCUAUGUCUAGAAAGGCUUCAGGUACCAAAACCAUCCAAAUGUACAUUUCUACACCAUAAAGAAUUUCAGAAAAUCUCCUUUCAGAUGUUCAAGUUAUAAAAUGGAGAGGACUUUAGGCCUUGCUGCCUUUUUCUUUCCCAGCCCGCACAGCCCUUCCCACCACCCAUCAUACUUCCUCCAUGCUCCCCCAAUCCUCCAUAUCCUUUUCUUCCCCAGCCCCCACAACUUCCCAUAUUCACAGAUACACCCACUGCCUCCCAUAUUCACGUCCUCCCACCACACCUGCCACCUCCCAAUUUGGGUGGAUUUGCAUAAGACAAAUUCAGAGGGCAAUUGAGGAACAAAAGUGUGAUUCCUAGAGGACACCAAUUCAAGGAAUUCAAUUACCACAUAUUGCUAAAGAAUCCAACUCCAGGAAAUUCCGGAGUGUGAUUCCGGAAUUCAUCUGGGUCCCACAAGAUUUUUUUGUAUUCCUCUCACAUUAGUAAACACCGAUGUAAAUCAUAAUCGAAAUUCAAUUCUGUUUCUUGACUCACAUUACCCUUACAUAAACGCGCCACUAAUGUGUUACACAAGCGUCUUUUUCUCUCAAUGUCUAUGUGAAUAUGUUUGGGUCCAAAAUAUUAUUUUGGGCCGAGCUUGGGAUUAUUCUCGGUCUAAUGGCAUUUAUCUAUAAUUUUCUUGUGGGCCAUCUAGUUAAGGCCGGCCGAAUCCUGUUGCGAAGGGAAUUGGUUUAGAUAAGAGUGAAGUAGUCAAAACCUAGUGCAACAGGGAGUCAUAAGGCUAAGGAUGUUGAGAAUUAAGGGAUAAUCUGGUUUGUUUAAAAGCUUGAAUUAGAGUCCUAUUAAAGUCAGGAUUGGCCGAGACCUAAUUAGAUUAAGUUGAGGAGUUCUAAUUCGAAUACGAUUCUAGCUCGGCCAUGAGAGGGUUGGCUACUAUAAAUAAAGAAAGGAGUGCAUUAUUCAAGGCCCCCCUUCAAUUCAACACACAAAUUGUCCUGUGCAAAGCUUCUCAACAACCCUUGAGAUUUUAUCCUUCUCCUCUUUCUUCUGCCA
rnacentral:lncRNA from 1 species